rnacentral:lncRNA from 1 species
AAGUAUAGCAAUUCUGGAAUCACAGGACGAACAUGCUGAAAAACUCCCAUCAGACAAGGUGAUUACGGACGAAGCGACUAUUGUGAAGACUGAAGAAUCAUCUGAUUCUGAGUACAAUGGGCCAACUAACGAUAAACCCGCACAUGAUUUGCCAGCAUUAGAUGAAGACGUCAAUUUAAUUAAAAUCGCUACUGAAGUUGAGCAAUAUUCCGACCCAGAAUUGCC